GAUGAACGCUGGCGGCGCGCCUAACACAUGCAAGUCGAACGGCACCCCUCCUCGGAGGGAAGCGAGUGGCGAACGGCUGAGUAACACGUGGAGAACCUGCCCCCUCCCCCGGGAUAGCCGCCCGAAAGGACGGGUAAUACCGGAUACCCCGGGGUGCCGCAUGGCACCCCGGCUAAAGCCCCGACGGGAGGGGAUGGCUCCGCGGCCCAUCAGGUAGACGGCGGGGUGACGGCCCCCCGUGCCGACAACGGGGAGCCGGGUUGAGAGACCGACCGGCCAGGUUGGGACUGGGCCCCGCCCCAGCCCCCUCCGGGGGGCAGCGGUGGGGAAUCUUGCGCAAGGGGGGGACCCCGGCCGCGGCGCCCCCGCGGGGGGGGCGGGGGCCUUCGGGUCGUAACCCGUUUUCAGCAGGGAAGGGUAAGGCCUGUCCCUGCAGAAGAAGCCCCGGCUAACUCCUU
rnacentral:rRNA from 1 species